rnacentral:rRNA from 1 species
AUUUCCUACGGGACGCAGCAGUGAGGAAUAUUGGUCAAUGGGCGGGAGCCUGAACCAGCCAAGUCGCGUGAGGGAAGACGGUCCUAUGGAUUGUAAACCUCUUUAGGCGGGGAGCAGUGCCGGGCACGCGUGCCCGGAGGGAGAGUACCCGCAGAAUAAGCAUCGGCUAACUCCGUGCCAGCAGCCGCGGUAAUACGGAGGAUGCGAGCGUUAUCCGGAUUUAUUGGGUUUAAAGGGUGCGUAGGCGGGUUUUUAAGUCAGCGGUAAAAUGUCCGGGCUCAACCCGGGCCGGACGUUGAAAAUGG